AAGUUAGAGAUUCGAAGACGAUCAAAUACCGCCCUAGUUCUGACUUUAAACGAUACCAACUAGUGUCCCGUCGGCGACAAAUGCGCCUUAACGGCCAGCUUCCCGAAAACAAAAGUUUUCUAGU
rfam:Onchocerca ochengi, WGS project CAWC01000000 data, contig: 00018_37